rnacentral:rRNA from 1 species
GACGAACGCUGGCGGCGUGCCUAAUACAUGCAAGUCGAACGCACAGAUUAUACCCUCGCUUGCUCCACCAUAGACUCUGACUUGCGAACGGGUGAGUAACGCGUAGGUAACCUGCCUGGUAUCGGGGGAUAACUACUGGACUCGAUAGCUAAUACCUCAUAAUCUUCAUUAUUCCAUGAUGAUUCACUGAAAUGUUCACUUGCACCCCUACCACCUGGACCUGCGUUGUAUUAGCUAGUAGGUCAGGUAACGGAUCAACCAGGCCACGAGACAUAUCCGGACGGAGAGGGUGAACCGCCAAACUGGGACGGAGACACGGGCCAGACUACUGCGGGAGGCAGCAGGAGGGAAUCUUCGGCAAUGGAGGAAAGGCUGACCGAGCAACGCCGGGGGAGUGAAGAAGGGUUUCGGAUCGGAAAGCUCUGUUGUAAGAGGAGAACGAGUGGGAGAGGGGAAAGUGCACACUGUGACGGUACCUUACCAGAAAGGGACGGCUAACUACGUG